rnacentral:rRNA from 1 species
GACGAACGCUGGCGGCGUGCUUAACACAUGCAAGUCGAACGGAAAGGCCCUGCUUUUGUGGGGUGCUCGAGUGGCGAACGGGUGAGUAACACGUGAGUAACCUGCCCUUGACUUUGGGAUAACUUCAGGAAACUGGGGCUAAUACCGUAUAGGAGCUCCUGCUGCAGGGUGGGGGUUGGAAAGUUUCGGCGGUUGGGGAUGGACUCGCGGCUUAUCAGCUUGUUGGUGGGGUAGUGGCUUGCCAAGGCUGUGACGGGUAGCCGGCCUGAGAGGGUGACCGGCCACAUUGGGACUGAGAUACGGCCCAGACUCCUACGGGAGGCAGCAGUGGGGAAUAUUGCACAAUGGGCGGAAGCCUGAUGCAGCAACGCCGCGUGCGGGAUGACGGCCUUCGGGUUGUAAACCGCUUUCGCCUGUGACGAAGCGUGAGUGACGGUAAUGGGUAAAGAAGCACCGGCUAACUACGUG